rnacentral:misc_RNA from 1 species
AAACUUGGCUCCUGUCUCGUAGUUUUAUAAAAGCGCACAGCAUAGUGUAGCGUACAAGUAAAUAAGUAGUUCAAACACAGGCUGAUCUAUGGCUCUCAGAAGCAGUGUUUGUUCAUAGUUCAAUUUUCACUGUGCGUUAUCAACGAAUGUAAUGUCAGUGCGACCUUAGACAUUGAAUAUAUGUCCUUUUGUUUUACAAGUACGAAGGAAACAUGGAGGAGUCUUCUUUCAAUUUUAAUAUUUUGAACACGAUCAUUAUCGCCUCCUUGGGAUAUUUGACUGUGAAGGCUAUCUGUGGUAUUCUCAAGUUCAUAAAGUUCAGGAGAAUAUACAACGCCAUUCCUGGGGAACAGUCCUUCAACCCUUUUUUGGGAACUCUACACAAGUUUCCAGGGCCUAAUGAAGAAGGCAUUAAAUAUGACUUCAAAAUGAUGAGAGAUGUUGCUCCAAAGAUUAUAAGGAUUUGGGCAGGACCAUUCCUUCCUGUGUUAUUGUUACAUCACCCAGAAACUGUCAGAGUUCUGCUCAAGUCCUCAGAGCCGAAGCCCAGGGGAAAGUAUGUAGCAGGGCCGUAUGACAUGGGCGUGCCCUGGUUGGGGGAAGGGCUGCUUAUUGCCAAUGGAGACCGAUGGGCACGGAGUCGGCGCCUUCUCACCCCAGCUUUCCAUUUCGACAUCCUCAAACCUUACUUUUCAAUCAAUAAUCAGGCUACUGAUAUUUUGUUGGACAAAAUAUCCAAAACCUGCAAAACAGGGAAAACCUUUGAAGUGUUCAACGUCAUUAGUCUUUGUGCCCUUGACAUCUUACUGAGGUGUGCCUUCUCUCAGACCAGCAACUGUCAGACUGAUGGAGAGAAUCAUCCAUACAUACAGGCUGUCAACAACCUGACAAAUAUGUGGUCUGCCCGUUCUCUAAAACCCAUCUUCUUCUUCGACUUCAUUUAUUUCCGGUGCCCGAGUGGCCGCAAGUUCCUCAAAACUUGCGACUAUGUGCAUCAGGUAGCGGAAGAAGUUAUUGAGGCAAGAAGGAAAGUUGUGAGUGAGAAUGGUCCUGCAACUCAGGAAGACGGAAAGAAGAAGAAGAUACUGGACUUCUUGGACAUUCUCCUGACAGCCAGAGAUGAGGAUGGGAAUGGUUUGACUUCACUGGAGAUCAGGAACGAAGUGGACACCUUCCUGUUUGAGGGCCAUGACACAACCACAAGUGCUAUGUCCUGGAUGUUAUACCACAUGGCUAAAUACCCGGAGUACCAGACUCGAGUUCAGGAAGAAAUAGAUGGCAUUUUGAAGGGGAGAGAAUCUGACCAUAUCAUGUGGGAAGAUCUGCCCAAGCUGGAAUUCUUUUCUCUGUGUUUGAAGGAGUCGUUGAGGAAUAGAACGCCUGUUCCUUUCAUUGAGCGUGAGCUGACGAAGGACACAGUCCUUGGUGGAUAUGAUGUCCCCAAAGGCACAUUUGUGGGUAUGCAUCUAUACAAUCUGUGCCACAACCCCCAUGUGUGGGAUCGCCCGCAGGAGUUCUCAUCCUGAGAGAUUCCUUUCUGAAGAAGUGAAGGCACAGGACCCCUUUUCCUAUGUUCCCUUCUCUGCUGCGGAUCAAGAAACUGCAUUGGGCAGAACUUUGCUAUGCAUGAAAUGAAGGUCGUCCUUGCACGAAUAUUGCACAGGUUCACCUUACAGCCUUGAUGAAAAUCGAUGAGGUAAGGAUGUUGACCAUGGCUGUAUUGAGAGCAGAGAAUGGAAUCAAGAUGUAUGCCAACGCCGCGGGCCUUCUGCCUGAUCUCGACCUGAGGGCACCAUGAAGUUACGCCACACAUCCAUUGUGAGCAGUACAGUGUUACAGAGGUUACUGAAUGGUAAUUAUCAGUCAACUACUUUAGAUUAAGUGUCAGUCUCUUUACUCCUGUGGGUGUCUGUUUUGUCUUCACUAUUUGACUGUUUAUUCUGU